AAAGUAUCAUAUAAGGUUUGUUCUACUCUCAGGUUCUACUACCGGUCCGUAGAUUGAAUUUGCAAUCAUGGUUAAAACUAUUAUAAACAUACCGGUUUUCUGUAUCUUGCUCCAAUGAUUAAACUCCAAUCCCUCAAAUCACCUUAUGUCAGACUUCAGACUCCCCCUGACUUAUAUUGUUUAAUAAUAAUUGACAGCUGUGCUGGCUUCUGACACCAUUUUUAUCAAGAGAAAAGUCAAUAUAUGAGUCCAAAAUCUAAUACUAGCCCAAUGGUCAUAACACUAGGUUAUCACAAUUUGUCUGAUGGCUUUAAUAGUCACUCAAUUUAUUUAAUAAUGUUAUUUAUUAUUUUCAGAGAUUCCAAUGCAUAGUUUCCCAGAUGCUGUCAAAUUCCUGAGCAGUUUAAAACUUGGGUCAGUCUUGUUGGUGGAAACCCUUAAACAUCUGAUCUUGAAUGUUGUGUGAAGAAGAAGAGAAUUUGUGAUAUACACUUUUCUGACAGACACAGAAAUCAUAAUCAAUGGCUAAGCACAUUGGCAGUUACGAUGCUUCAUCUGCUUGGACAACUACAGAGUCAAGUAAUCUUAGGACAAGCUUCAUCCACACAACAUUUACUGCCUACAAUAAUACAGCAAGACUGUUCAGAGCCAUAUGUGAGCAACUUUAUUUUAGAAAAAGCAUCAACUUCAACAACAUUCCAACCUGUGGCUGCAGAUGCAUCUCAAGGUGCUUGAUGCUGGAACAUAAUUAUAGUUUUAUUAGCAAGCCUAAAACAACAGCUGGAAAAGAUCUAAUGGCUCCACAGCGCACAAAGAUCAAGCAACUUCAAGCAGAAAUAUCGCGCUUGCGAAAAAAAGGACAAUCUUUCAAAGCAAGGUUUAAAGGUGGUGCAGAUCGAUCAAACGAAUUUUGUCAGGAAAAUUAACAUAUGUGGGUGAAGACGAAACAAAAACAGCUGCCUAACAAUAUUAUGAUAAACAUAAACAUUAUAAAAAUAAAAAAUAAUAUGCAAA